GUCCUGCCAAACACCUCCUGUGGACUAAGCACUGCUUGAUAAGUUGCCGUUGCAAUUAGAAUGGCUAUCACAAGAAGGGUGUCUCUUGCUUUUCCUGGAGAAUCUUUGGUUUUAUUGUACUUGAAGUAAUCCUGAAGCUUCUUAGAGCGAGAUCGAGGCUGUUCUCUCCUACGCUCUCUGCUGGAUUGUUCAUUUGAUGAAUCUUGAAGCGAAACAACCCAAGACUGGGGGGAAGCUUCUUGCUGUGAAGACGAGAUUGAGGCCGGUCUCUCCUAUGUUCUCUGCUGGAUUGUUCAUUUGAUGAAUCUUGAACUGAAACAACCCAAGAUUGGUGGGAAGCUUCUUGCUGUGAAGAUUUCAAGUUUUCAAUAGAUACAGCACCAGAUGCUCUUAAAAUUUCCUCAAUAUCUCCAUCUCCACAUUCCUUAAGUAGUACAUCCAAAGGUGUAAGGCCUCCCUUGUUCAAAGAAUUCACCUCAAUUAUGCCUUUAGGAACAACAUUUUCGUCGAGCAGUAGAUCAACAACCUGGACGGUUCAUUUCUCU
rnacentral:lncRNA from 1 species